rnacentral:rRNA from 1 species
AUUGAACGCUGGCGGCAUGCCUUACACAUGCAAGUCGAACGGCAGCGGACCUUCGGGUGCCGGCGAGUGGCGAACGGGUGAGUAAUGCAUCGGAACGUGCCAUUGAGUGGGGGAUAACGUAGCGAAAGUUGCGCUAAUACCGCAUAUUCUGUGAGCAGGAAAGCAGGGGACCGCAAGGCCUUGCGCUCUUUGAGCGGCCGAUGUCAGAUUAGCUAGUUGGUGAGGUAACGGCUUACCAAGGCGACGAUCUGUAGCGGGUCUGAGAGGAUGAUCCGCCACACUGGAACUGAGACACGGUCCAGACUCCUACGGGAGGCAGCAGUGGGGAAUUUUGGACAAUGGGGGCGAACCCUGAUCCAGCCAUGCCGCGUGAGUGAAGAAGGCCUCGG